UCGCUUCAGCAGCACAUAUACUACAAUUGGAACGAUACAGAGAAGAUUAGCAUGGCCCCUGAGCAAGAAUGACAUGCAAAUUCAAGAAGCAUUCCAUAUUUUU
rnacentral:snRNA from 1 species